rnacentral:rRNA from 1 species
UACGUAGGGUGCAAGCGUUAAUCGGAAUUACUGGGCGUAAAGCGUGACGCAGGCGGUUAUGCAAGACAGAGGUGAAAUCCCCGGGCGUCAACCUGGGAACUGCCUUUGUGACUGCAUGACUAGAGUACGGUAGAGGGGGAUGGAAUUCCGCGUGUAGCAGUGAAAUGCGUAGAUAUGCGGAGGAACACCGAUGGCGAAGGCAAUCCCCUGGACCUGUACUGACGCUCAUGCACGAAAGCGUGGGGAGCAAACAGG